rnacentral:rRNA from 1 species
UUGAACGCUGGCGGCAUGCCUUACACAUGCAAGUCGAACGGCAGCAUAGAAGAGCUUGCUCUUCUGAUGGCGAGUGGCGAACGGGUGAGUAAAGCAUCGGAACGUACCGUGUAGUGGGGGAUAACGUAGCGAAAGUUACGCUAAUACCGCAUACGCACUGAGGUGGAAAGCAGGGGAUCGCAAGACCUUGCGCUAUACGAGCGGCCGAUGUCAGAUUAGCUAGUUGGUAGGGUAAAGGCCUACCAAGGCGACGAUCUGUAGCGGGUCUGAGAGGAUGAUCCGCCACACUGGGACUGAGACACGGCCCAGACUCCUACGGGAGGCAGCAGUGGGGAAUUUUGGACAAUGGGGGAAACCCUGAUCCAGCCAUGCCGCGUGAGUGAAGAAGGCCUUCGGGUUGUAAAGCUCUUUCGGCUGGGAAGAAAUCGCACAGGCUAAUACUCUGUGUGGAUGACGGUACCAGCACAAGAAGCACCGGCUAACUACGUG